rnacentral:rRNA from 1 species
GGGAAUUUUCCGCAAUGGGCGCAAGCCUGACGGAGCAAUACCGCGUGAGGGAGGAAGGCUCUUGGGUCGUAAACCUCUUUUAUCAGGGAAGAACACAAUGACGGUACCUGAUGAAUCAGCAUCGGCUAACUCUGUGCCAGCAGCCGCGGUAAUACAGAGGAUGCAAGCGUUAUCCGGAAUUAUUGGGCGUAAAGCGUCCGCAGGUGGUUUUGGUAGUCUGCUGUCAAAGCGCGAGGCUCAACUUCGUAUCGGCGGUGGAAACUCCAAGACUAGAGUUUGGUAGGGGUCACGGGAAUUCCCAGUGUAGCGGUGAAAUGCGUAGAUAUUGGGAAGAACACCAGCGGCGAAAGCGCGUGACUGGGCCUGAACUGACACUCAUGGACGAAAGCUAGGGGAGCGAAAGGGAUUAGAUACC